rnacentral:SRP_RNA from 1 species
GCCAGGUGCAGUGACGCAUGCCUGUAAUCCCAGCUACUCGGGAGGCCAAGGUUGGAGGAUCAUUUGAGUCCAAGAGUUCUGGGCUGCAGUGUGCUACACCGAUCGGGUGUCCGCACUAAGUUCGGCAUCAAUAUGGUGACCUCCCGGGAGCGGGGAACCACCAGGUUGCCUAUGGAGAGGUGAACCAGCCCAGGUCAGAAAUGGAGUAGGUCAAAACUCCCAUGCUGAUCAGUAGUGGGAUCAAGCCUGUGAAUAGCCACUGUACUCCUGCACUCUAAAAAACAAACA